rnacentral:rRNA from 1 species
AGGGAGUGGCGGACGGGUGAGGAACACGUGGGUGACCUACCUUUCAGUGAGGGAUACCGGCGAGAAAUUGCCGACAAGACCGCAUACGGUUCUUUCUUCGAUGGGAGAACGAAAGCUUUAUCGCAAGAUGAGGCGCUGGAAGAUGGGCCCGCGGCCGAUUAGCUAGCUGGUGGGGUAAUGGCCUACCAGGGCAUCGAUCGGUAGCUGGUCUGAGAGGACGAUCAGCCACACUGGGAUUGAGAACGGCCCAGACUCCUACGGGGGGCAGCAGUGAGGAAUUUUCGGCAAUGGGGGCAACCCUGACCGAGCAACGCCGCGUGCAGGACGACGGCCUUCGGGUUGUAAACUGCUUUUCUCUGGGACGAGAACGGACGGUACCAGAGGAAGAAGCCCCGGCUAACUACGUGCCAGCAGCCGCGGUAAUACGUAGGGGGCGAGCGUUGUCCGGAGUUACUGGGCGUAAAGCGCACGCAGGCGGUCUGCUAAGUUUGGGGUGACAGUUGUCGGCUUAACCGGGAAAGUGCCUCAAAGACUGACAGACUUGAGGGCCACAGAGGGACAUGGAACUCCAGGUGUAGUGGUGAAAUGCGUAGAUAUCUGGAAGAACACCAAAGGCGAAGGCAGUGUCCUGGGUGGUACCUGACGCUCAGGUGCGAAAGCUAGGGGAGCGAACGGGAUUAGAUACCCCGGUAGUCCUAGCCGUAAACGAUGACCACUAGAUGUGCGGGGUAUCGACCCCUUGCGUGUCGUAGUUAACGCGAUAAGUGGUCCGCCUGGGGAGUACGGUCGCAAGAUUAAAACUCAAAGGAAUUGACGGGGACCCGCACAAGCAGCGGAGCGUGUGGUUUAAUUCGAUGCAACGCGAAGAAC